UCCACUCAAAUAAACAACAAUAAAUUUAUCUUAAAUCAUCUCAAAUCUAUUCAAUCACUCUCUCCCAAAUCCAUUCAAGUAAACAAAGGCUUAGUCUACUGCCACCGGUGUUUGCAUUACGUGGAAUCGGGGUGAGCAUAAUAAGAACAUGGACACAUAGCAGUUUCAUGCAACAAAUCAAAGAGCAAGGUGAUAUGGAGAGGCUAGGCUGAAUGAAGGGCACGUGUGUGGUGGCUGAUACUGAUUGCUGUCCUGGAAGUUCGCAUCCAUUAUGAUUGUUGCGUGCAGUUGCUCAUCUUCCCCUACAUGCAUUGCCAUAUCUGCCCACUGAUUUCCCUCUUUCUUUCUCUUACUUGAGUUGGAUUCUUUCAUUCCUCAAAAACCAGUUCAAUGAUUUGUCAAUGCAAGUGGACCACACCACCUCCAUCUAAUUUAAUCAUUUUCUGUAAUUUAUAAAUAAAAUUAGUGAGUAGUAUUACUUGUA